UACGGAAGGUCCGGGCGUUAUCCGGAUUUAUUGGGUUUAAAGGGAGCGCAGGCGGACGUUUAAGUCAGUUGUGAAAUACGGCGGCUCAACCGUCGGGGUGCAGUUGAUACUGGACGUCUUGAGUGCACACAAGGAUGCCGGAAUUCAUGGUGUAGCGGUGAAAUGCUCAGAUAUCAUGAAGAACUCCGAUUGCGAAGGCAGUCUCCUGGGGUGCAACUGACGCUGAGGCUCGAAGGUGCGGGUAUCGAACAGG
rnacentral:rRNA from 1 species